GCCAGACUCCUACGGGAGGCAGCAGUGAGGAAUAUUGGUCAUUGGGCUAAGGCCUGAACCAGCCAAGUCGCGUGAGGGAAGACGGUCCUAUGGAUUGUAAACCUCUUUUGCCGGGGAGCAAAAAGCGGUACGUGUACCGCAUCGAGAGUACCCGGAGAAAAAGCAUCGGCUAACUCCGUGCCAGCAGCCGCGGUAAUACAGAGGAUGCGAGCGUUAUCCGGAUUUAUUGGGUUUAAAGGGUGCGCAGGCGGCGAGUUAAGUCAGCGGUAAAAUUGCGGGGCUCAACCCCGCUCCGCCGUUGAAACUGUGUCCCUUGAGUGCGCGAAGGGUAGGCGGAAUGCGUGGUGUAGCGGUGAAAUGCAUAGAUAUCACGCAGAACUCCGAUCGCGAAGGCAGCCUACCGGCGCGCAACUGACGCUCAUGCACGAAAGCGUGGGUAUCGAACAGGAUUAGAUACCCCAGUA
rnacentral:rRNA from 1 species